CCUACGGGCGGCAGCAGUGGGGAAUAUUGCACAAUGGGGGGAACCCUGAUGCAGCGACGCCGCGUGAGUGAAGAAGUAUUUCGGUUUGUAAAGUUCUAUCAGCAGGGAAGAAAAUGACGGUACCUGACUAAGAAGCCCCGGCUAACUACGUGCCAGCAGCCGCGGUAAUACGUAGGGGGCAAGCGUUAUCCGGAUUUACUGGGUGUAAAGGGCGCGUAGACGGCAGAGCAAGUCUGAAGUGAAAGCCCGUGGCCAAACCGCGGGACUGCUUUGGAAACUGCCCGGCUAGAGUGCUGGAGAGGUAAGCGGAAUUCCUAGUGUAGCGGUGAAAUGCGUAGAUAUUAGGAGGAACACCAGUGGCGAAGGCGGCUUACUGGACAGUAACUGACGUUGAGGCUCGAAAGCGUGGGGAGCAAACAGGAUUAGAUACCCUGGUAGUC
rnacentral:rRNA from 1 species